CCACUGGUAAUAUUUGCAGUCAGCAUGAAUAGACUUUCUCAGUACAGUUUUCAACUCCUGGCACAACAGUAUCCUUUUUCCAAACUAUAGCAUAAAUCACAGAAAAGUAUCUCCUCAUUUGUUUGGGAUGAGUUUUAAUUCAGAAACAAUUUAUAGUAAUAUUCUAAGAGACUGACUGAAUUUGCUUUCCCAACUGAAAAAGGAAUCAACUAUUUGUUAUUAUUUAAUGAAGCUUUGAAGCAUGAGGAAGUCAAUUAUUCUUCAGUGCAGUGAUGUACAAAGGGGACUCCUGCAUUUUCCCUGUUCCCUGAAGAGAUUAAGAACUUCUGAGUGGAGACAAACGGGAAAAAAUAUUGUUUGUGGAACCUUGCCUAGGCUUGAUGAGAAGGAGGAAAGAGCUCUUACAGCUAAAACUAAUCAGUAACUGUGGUUUCUCCAAACAUGGAAGAAUUUUCCAUCAACAGUCACAAUGGGGAGUGUCUAGUUGGACCAUCAUGGAAGAUGGAUGGGCCUCAAGAAGGUUAGCAGGAUUAAAUGAAGCAAAAAGGAUGGAGCCCUAAUUCAAUAGGAAUGAUGUGAUUAUAAGAAGAGAAAGAGACACCAAAGCACAGAGGCAAGAUGGUGUGAGGACACAAUGGGAAGGUGGCAUCUGCAACUAAGGAGAGAAGCUUCUGGAUAAACCAAAUUUGCUGACCUCUUAACCUUGGACAUCCAGUCUCUAGAACAGUGAAAAAAUUAAUUUCUGUGGUUUAAACUACAUAGUCUUUGCAACUUUGUUAUGGCAGCCCUGGCAGACUAUCAGAAAUGCAUUAAGAUGUUCACAAAAAGAAAUGUACAAAAUGUUCUUAGCAACAUUCUUGUAUUUGGUUAUUCUGA
rnacentral:lncRNA from 10 species